GAUGAACGCUGGCGGCGUGCCUAAUACAUGCAAGUCGAGCGAACGGACGAGAAGCUUGCUUCUCUGAUGUUAGCGGCGGACGGGUGAGUAACACGUGGAUAACCUACCUAUAAGACUGGGAUAACUUCGGGAAACCGGAGCUAAUACCGGAUAAUAUUUUGAACCGCAUGGUUCAAAAGUAAAAGACGGUCUUGCUGUCACUUAUAGAUGGAUCCGCGCUGCAUUAGCUAGUUGGUAAGGUAACGGCUUACCAAGGCAACGAUGCAUAGCCGACCUGAGAGGGUGAUCGGCCACACUGGAACUGAGACACGGUCCAGACUCCUACGGGAGGCAGCAGUAGGGAAUCUUCCGCAAUGGGCGAAAGCCUGACGGAGCAACGCCGCGUGAGUGAUGAAGGUCUUCGGAUCGUAAAACUCUGUUAUUAGGGAAGAACAUAUGUGUAAGUAACUGAGCACAUCUUGACGGUACCUAAUCAGAAAGCCACGGCUAACUACGUG
rnacentral:rRNA from 1 species